rnacentral:lncRNA from 1 species
GUUCAUUAAAAAUUACUGACAUGAAGCAGAUUAAUAGGAGAAAAGUAUACAAAACUAUUUAAUGUGUAUACAUAGGAAAAUCACUGAGUGAUUUCCUAUCCCACAGCAUGGUUCAGGAAAAGAGAAAUUCUGUUGAGUGGAUUACUAGGAAGGAUAAAUAGAUCAGGAAACAGAAAUUAACUUGUACAUUAUCUUGUGAAAGAUUCUGUUCAGGUGUGGUUACACUUUUGGUAUUAUAAGGAGAGGAACAAAAACUUUUUUUUCUUUUGUUGGGUCUGAUCUUAGGUAGAUAAAGGCUUUGGGAGAAUCAGAGGGAAGGGGAAGGCCAGAGACAGCUUGAAGCUUCUUCAGUUCAGCAUGUCAAAAUGCCACAUUUUGGGCUAUCAACUUCUGUAUUAGUCUAUUGUGCACUGCUAUAAAGGAAUACCUGAGACUGAGUAAUUUAUAAAGAAAAAAGGUAUAUUUGGCUCAUGGCUCUGCAGGCUAUACAAGCAUUGCACCAGUAUCUGCUUGGUUUCUAUUGAGGCCUGAGAAAGCUUUUACUUUUGGCAGAAGGCAAAGGCAGAGCAGGUGUGCUCGCAGGCAUGUCACGUGGUGAGGGAGGGAAAAAGAGAGUGGGGGAGGUGCCAGCCUCCUGCUCUUGAGUGAACUAACAGAGCAAUAACUCACUCAUUAUCCUGGGUAGGGCAUAAAGCCAUUCACGAGGGAUCUGCCCCUAUGACCCAAACACCUCUUACCAAGUCCCACCUCUAAUAUAUUGGAAAUCACAUUUCAACAUGAGAUUUGAAGGGGACAAAUAUCCAUACUAUAUUAGUUUCUGUGCCCCAAUAAGAUCCAUGAGUCUUGCAGUAACUACUGAAUUACUGUACUCAUUUCUAUCUCCAACGGAUGAGGAAAGUUGGAAUAGAGUCUCCUCCUACAAGUGCAAAUGUUCCUGAGAAGAGUAAAGGUAAUAUAUGUAAAGCUGCUCUGAUGAGCAAUCAGUCAACAACAAUCAGCCAGGAGAAGGGACUGCUUCUAGGAUGAUGCCUUACCACCACUACCUUUCAGUAUAAGGUCCAGCCUAGAGUAGAGGGGGAAACAGAUAUGGAGAAAAUGACCUAAGUCCAACGCAAUUAUGCCGUUCCAGGUAUCUCUCCACCCUCUGACCCCUGGGUCACUAACCAACAGCCGAGAGAAGAUGAUCCCUUGUGGAGGGUGGCUAACCUCACAGCAUGUAUAGGAUUAGAUUACAGAUGAAGAGAAGGUUUUUUCUCAAACUGGACAACUUGCUUUGAUUGAUAGUGAGGCCCUGAAGAUUUAGGAUCGAAUCUGACACUUCAUAUGAACUCAGAGGACAUGGUCCCAGGAUCAUAGGAAAAAGGAAGACUCAUCAGAGAGCUGAAGUUGCAAGGCAAACUAUCAUCCUGAAAUUUGGGAAAACAGAUGCACCAGAGACCAAUAUCUGCUUAUCUGAAGCAGAAGCUGUUAAAGUGCUGAAAACAAAGAAACACUUAAAUGGAUGAUGAAACUCCCAUGGGGCCAGCCACAGCAGUAACCAGACUCAGAAAUGGACAUUCUUCACACUGAGCUGCAUUAACCCAGGGAGAAGAAGAGGAGAGGCAACACGCCAUAUUUUCUAAUGAGUUAAAGCCUAAUUUAAUCUGGAAAUAACUAAUGUUGACUAGUGUGUUUCCCCUAAAAUAAUUGCCUCUGAUGGUCAAUUUUAUAGCUAAACCUAAAAAAGAUGAUUUAGGAAACACUGAGAAGUUCAUCCCUCUUCCCACAAUAAAAAUAUACUUUGCAAUUUAUUAUUACAACUAUCUUUCAAGUUAUUUCCGUGGGUCUAUGUUAUUUUGAGAAACACAGAUUACCCAAAGAAUCUUACUUAACCAGUCAGUGACAUCAGUGACAUUCAGAAUCAAGUGUAUAAGGUUAUAUAUCUAUUUAUCAAUAUUUAUUUUAGUCCAUCAGCUGAUCAUAAAAUAAUAAAGGGCUUCCUCUUUAUUCUACUCCUUGGUAUACCUUAUAAAUUCAAUCCUACUUUCCCUUCAUUUCGCUUUCCCCAAAAUUUUCACUAUGAUUGAAAUUACAUUUACUAUAGCACAUGAAGUCUUUACAAAGGCACCUUUUUCUUCUGUUUUUGCUCACUGUUCACAGUGUAGAAUGUCUAGUAUCCCAUUAAAGUGCUCAAUAAUAAAUGCCUAUCAUACCCAAGGAAUUGUAUGAUCCAAAUGGUGUAAAUAGAUAAAUAUUGUACCCUUUACAUCCAUGGAGAAAAAUUCACUUUGGAGAUUUAUACAGUGGUAUUUCCAGCUCCUAACCCUUUGGAUUCUACAUGCAUUUCCUCCCACUAACUGAUCCACACAUAAUAGAUCCUUCAGCCUGUUAGCAGUGCCCCACUCCUUGAACAUACACUAUGCUCUCUUUUUUUGUUGAAUUUUCUCUUCACUAACAUCCUAUUUAAAACCCAGUCAGCCCUUUAAAAUCUGGCUCAAAUUGGGCUCUAGAUCAAUACAAGUAAAUCUAUCUAAUCAAACACAAAUCUGCUUAAUGCUUAAUUCACCUAAGGAACUAUUUGAAAAAUUUAUUUUGGUAAAACAUAUAACAUUUUCUAUAUAAUGGAUGACUUUUAUCUUUUGGGAAUUUUUGUAUUUUGUAUAUUUGUAUUUUGUAUUUGUAUAUUUGUAUUUUUGUAUAUUUGUAUUUUGCGUGUUUUAAAAAUUUCAGAAUUAUUUAUUCAAUUUACCUAAAUCAUUUCAGCCUUGAUUCCACAUUUUCAGUAUUAUUCAGUUUAAUGCAUUAUGUUGACAAUAAAAUUAUUUAUUUCAAUGUAUU